CCAACCUGUUGAACUCUUCUGAAGUGCCAGGCCCUAGAUUCCAUGCUCAUGGUCAGUUCCAGCAUUCAAGGAGAUCAGGAUAUAAUGGACACGUAAACAGUCGGACUACGGCAGUAGAGGAGCUGGAGCUACAGCUUGUAGGGCCAGGA
rnacentral:lncRNA from 1 species